rnacentral:lncRNA from 1 species
CCCAGACACAUAAAAAUGUUAUCGAAAAGGAAAAAUAAUUUAAUAAUCAUUUAAACCUCUUUAAAGUAGCAAGUUUGAGAAAAAGAUUAACUAUAGCAUUUCCAGAUACUGGGUUGUUGGAUCCUAUUUAAAAUAAAGGGAAAAAAUAACGUGAAAACAUUUUUUGUCAGAUACAGAUAGACUACAAAGAUGGAACUCUUGACUUGUUAAAAUGGAGGUACCUAAACAAAGAUUCAUAAGUACAGAUUCAGAAUCCUGUGAAUCGGCAACCUUUUGAAUUGUUCUUGAUGUGAUCGAACAGUUCUCUAUGUUCAAAUUAUAAAGUGCUGCAAAAUAAUAGAGGAUAUAAAUGAAGAAACACUAUUAGGAUUUAUUUAAAAUUUGAACAUCGCAAAAUUAUGUAAUCACGAAGUUCCAUAAAGAUGACACCAUGAAAUCUUAUGAGAGAUAGCACAUUACAUAAUGGUAUAAAUUAUAGGCCAUUCAAACAUCCAAGUGGGUCUCAACACGCCACUUACUCAGGUGCCAUGGCAUAAACAGAAAACAUUUGAAGGACAAUAAGAUGAAAGAAUAAUUAUGCAUCACAAAAAAGAGAGUUAAUUACUCAAAUAUUCACUGAUCUUUGUCAAAAGUUUUCAAGAGGUCACCGAAUUUUAAAACUUUCCUAAAUAAUCAUUGAACUUUAUCAAAAGUUCCUUGGAGACCAUCGAAUUUCAAAACUUUCCUAAAUGGUCACUGAAUUUUGUAAAAAGUUCCUAAGGGGUCACUCAACUUUGCAAAUUGGGACCCCAUACAUCAGUAGUUUAGUGACUCCUUAUGGACUUUUUGCAUAAUUCAAUGACUAUUUAGGAAAGUUUUGAAAUUCGGUGACCUUUUGGGAACUUUUGGCACAGUUCAGUGAUUAUUUAGGAAAGUUUUGAAGUUCGGUGACUUCCUGAAAUUUUUUGGCAAAGUUCAAUGACUAUUUGAAAAAUUAACACCAAAAAAGAUGAGCAUGAAUAAAACUUGAUGAUAAUAAAUCAGCUUAUUUUUACACACAAGACAUACACAAUUAAUCACUGAAUUAUAUUACAAUGUUCUAUAAAGUACAUGAGGAACCAUUCUAACAUUUCCAUAUGCAUCGAUGGUCUAUCUUGUAUAUUAUUUAAUAUUACAGUGUCCAAUUCCUAAAAUAUCACUUUGUAGAACAAGGUUACCAGUUUAUAGUUGGACAUUUUAAAAAGGCCCAAGUCACACAGUAUUAAAACAAGAUUUCGUGUAAUCACAAACAACUGAAAAUAAACUUGUAGAAAAUUAAAAGAUUGAACACAAGCGAUUUCUUUCGACCUAAGCCUCGGAGGUUCGUGAUCAUAUAACGCCUACAUCCCCCGUUGACAAUCUCAGUUGCACUAAAUCGCCCAAAAUUGCAACAAAGAUUGCAUAUUGAUUUUUCCAACACAAGAGAGAAGUACAUUACACUUAUCUCUUCAAUUAUAAAAUGAGAUCAACGAAGAAUCACUCAACAAACUUGAACAUGCCUACUGAAACUAUAACUGCAGGAACCCUCUCAUUAUUUCAGGAAUCACUCAAAAUAUUGUAGAUAUUAGAGGCUAAAAAUAGAUCACAAUCUCGAAUGAGUUGUUCAAGAGAGAAAAGAACUAUAGAUCAAAACCCUAGCCUUCAACAGAAAAUGCAUUUAUCUUUCGGACUAAACCGUCAGAAGAAGAAGAAAUGAAACGACACUGUGUUCCUUUUAUAUCUAAUACAUCAAAGAUGCUAAAUGAAGGGCCAAGAUAAGGACACGUGCUGCCAUCCUAUAUAAAAGCCUCAACUCAAAAGAGUUGCAUAUCCAGUGAUGUGAAUUUAACCAAAUUUCGGGAGCACAUCACACAGAUCACUGGUUCGAGCUUCAACAACUUUUACUUUGCUACCAAAAAUUUGGGAUCAAAAGUACAGCCAAGAGUAAUAUUAGUAAUUUAAUUUUCAUUUGCUCUAAGUACUUAUUUAUACAUUACAAAGUAUCAAUAGAUAAUAACUUCAAACAAUUAUGAAAUUUGUUUAAAUGUAUUGUUUUAGUUUCCAUAUCUGAAGGAUUAAAUUGGGUACAAAGCUUACCAAUUUUCAUAAUUAUCAUGAAAUACUAUCUUUAAUAAAAUGACAUUUAAUGUCUAUGUGUUUAGUUCUAUCAUGAAACAUGAAAUUUUUAUUCAGAUGUAAAGCACUUUUAUCAUAGUGCAGAAUUGCAUUUUCGUCAGUAAAACCAAGUUCACUCAAUAGCCUACUUAACCAAUACAUUCUUUAAUAGCAUCAGAAGCAACAAUGUAUUUUUUUCAAUUGAGGACAAAGCCACAACCUUAUAAAUUUGAGAUUUUCAACUAAUUACAGUGCCACACAGUGUAAAGAAAUAAGCUAAAACAGAUUUCCUAUUAUCUCUAUUUCUAGCAAAAUCACGAUCUGUAUAACCUUUAAAAGUUAUCCCAUCUUUAUUCAUUUUAAAAACAAGUCCAAAAUCUAAAAUUUCUUCCUGAUAUCCUAGAAGCCACUUUAAAGAAUUACAAUGUUCUUCUUCAGGGUUACUCAUGAAUCUACUAAUUAUGCUAACACUAUGAGCAAGAAUGCAUCUAAUAGUUGUAUAUUUAACUAUGAUGAAAAAAUUUCAGUAUAGUCAACACCUUCCUUUUAUGUGAACCCAUUAGCUAUAAGUCUAGCUUUAUAACUAAUACUUUUAUUUCCCCAUCCACCUUCUUCUAUCAUUUAAAUUCACUUACAAUCAGUUAGCUUAUCUCCUCUAGGUCUUUCAACCACUUCCCAGGUUUUAUUAUUAAGAAGUAAANUCUUUUUUAUUAAAUUCUACCGCAUUCAUCAAUAUAGUCAUACAAAACAUAAUUACAUAGAAUUAAGCCAUAUUUCAAACUCUUUGAUUAUAAUUAAGUCAUAUUUCUGAACUAAAUAAGUGUGUAGUAACACACUUAUCAAACCCCUCAAACUUAAACUAUUGUUUAUCCUCAAAAAAAUAGUGGCUCAAUACUAAACAAACAUGACUUAAUAACUUGCCCUAUCUCGGGACUAGACUAAGUAUUUAACUUAAAUUUUUUUUUUGAUUAGUGUAAGAAUGAAAUCAACCUUUACCUGUUAAUUGCAUACCCGACGUGCAUGUGUGAAAUCAUGCUAACAUAUUUAGUUUAUGAUGGGGUUAGUCCCAACCCAUAGUGGUCAAAUAUGUCCUUUCUUCGCUCGAGAGGUACACAAUCCCCAAACUUAUUCUUUUCACUCAGUUAUCCCGGGGUUGUGUUUUAAAGUUAGGAUUUUGGGUAUCUACAGUCCUUACCCUUUCUUAGUGUGGAUAAAUCUCACUAUCACAAGCUCACAUAUUAACAAAUGAAGGCUUUCUAGAUUUGAUUGCUUCAACACUUAAGAUUAAACUAAGUUACUAAGCUCGCCUCAAAGGUAUAGUUUCUUCAACCAAAUAUCCAAGGGUCUCUUGAUGUUAUCGUGUCUUUUCUCACUUAUUUUCUGAAUAUUUUUUUUAUGUUAUCUUCUCAUUUUCUUUUUGUAUAACCCCUGUAGCGAGCUUUAGGCCGAUGACUCCCAAACUGUUGGCUUUAGGGCAUCAGGUUUUAAACCCUUGCAGGCUUAUUUACUCGAGUUAUAAAGGCUUGAUCGGAUAACUUUUUAUUCAUCUCUUCCCCUUUUGCUUUUUGUAUGAUCCAUGUAAUGAGCUUUGGGUUGAUGACUCCCAAGCUUGUUAGCUUUACGGCACCAAAUUUUAAAAUAUCCUUACAAGCUUACUUGCUCGAAUUAUAAAGACAUGAAAAAGGUGUCCUGUUUACACAAGUUAGAUUUAUGCCCUUUAUUAUUUUUCUAGACAUUUAGCCUCCAAAACUAACCCUCAAUUUAAGAUUUUCAUCUCACUGGUCUAAGCAAUCCACACAAUAGAAUUCAUGUACGGAGCCCCCACUUAUCUCAAUGCUUUCCUAUGAUUGUUCAACCAUCUCCAAACCAUCUUAAGGUAGUUUACUAUUUGAUUUAGUAGAGGGUUAUCAUUCUUUUCCUACUUUAUGUUCAAAACCCCAAUCACUAACCUAACAUGUUGAGCAUAAGUGGGGUGCAUAAAGAAUGUCAAGCAUUACAUCAAUAAGUAUUGGUUAAUCUAUUCAGCACCAUAUCCACAGUUUGUAAUUUAUACCAAUCCAAUAUCACAUCAUAGCUGGCAAAACUAUCAAGCCCAUAUAAUCAUGCAAGAAUGGAAAAACAGCAAACUGAAUAAAAUGCAAAGAAUUUUUUAACACUCAUCAAGCACAUGAUAUGCAGUCAUAAAACAUAGAUAUUGAUGAAUAUAGGCAAAAUGAUGAAAAGAUGUUCGUGUCCAAGAUUAUGUCACCACCCCCAAACUUAGAUAAUACAUUAUCCUCAAUGUGAAGAUGAAAUAAAAGUAUAAACAGACAUAAUUGAAGGACAAUAAUAAACUAAAAGUGCAAGAUGGGAUACGAGUACUCUCCUGAUCUAUAUGGAGGUGUUGAAUGAAAAUUAGGACCCGUAGUGUUUCUCCUUUCCCUGUGACAUUUUUUUUGACAGCAUCCUGUAAAAGUGCAAAGUAUGCGUAUUAGUUUACAUGGUGUAAACAGAUGCAACUGAGGUAAGAAAUAACCUAGGUAGUGCACAAAUCCCCCAAACUUGUUUCAAGGUGC